rnacentral:rRNA from 1 species
CGAAGCCGCGAGGUGGAGCAAAUCCCAAAAAUAACGUCUCAGUUCGGAUUGUAGUCUGCAACUCGACUACAUGAAGCUGGAAUCGCUAGUAAUCGCGAAUCAGAAUGUCGCGGUGAAUACGUUCCCGGGUCUUGUACACACCGCCCGUCACACCAUGGGAGUCAGCAACGCCCGAAGCCGGUGACCCAACCGAAAGGAGGGAGCCGUCGAAGGUGGGGCCGAUAACUGGGGUGAAGUCGUAACAAGGUACC